rnacentral:rRNA from 1 species
GGGUUGUGAGGUUAAGCGACUAAGCGUACACGGUGGAUGCCCUGGCAGUCAGAGGCGAUGAAGGACGUGCUAAUCUGCGAAAAGCGUCGGUAAGGUGAUAUGAACCGUUACAGCCGGCGAUGUCCGAAUGGGGAAACCCAGUGCAAUUCGUUGCACUAUCGUUAACUGAAUACAUAGGUUAACGAGGCGAACCGGGGGAACUGAAACAUCUAAGUACCCCGAGGAAAAGAAAUCAACCGAGAUUCCCCCAGUAGCGGCGAGCGAACGGGGAGCAGCCCGGAGUCUGAAUCAGCUUGUGUGUUAGUGGAAGCGUCUGGAAAGUCGCAGGGUACAGGGUGAUACUCCCGUACACUAAAACGCACAGGUUGUGAACUCGAAGAGUAGGGCGGGACACGUGGUAUCCUGUCUGAAUAUGGGGGGACCAUCCUCCAAGGCUAAAUACUCCUGACUGACCGAUAGUGAACCAGUACCGUGAGGGAAAGGCGAAAAGAACCCCGGCGAGGGGAGUGAAAAAGAACCUGAAACCGUGUACGUACAAGCAGUAGGAGCCCCACCACCAAAGCGUUUCGCUUUGCGUGGUGCGCAAAAUGCGUAACGACAGCGCGAUGGACGGUUAACGGAGCGUAAGCGACGUUCAACAUCAAAAAUCAGGCAGUGGAGCGUUUUGGGGUGGGGUGACUGCGUACCUUUUGUAUAAUGGGUCAGCGACUUAUAUUCUGUAGCAAGGUUAACCAUAUAGGGGAGCCGCAGGGAAACCGAGUCUUAACUGGGCGUUAAGUUGCAGGGUAUAGACCCGAAA